ACGAAUUGUACUGGAGGGUUGAUGCUGGAAGCCAUUUCAUGUGCUCGCCCCCUAACAAUCUUCAUCCAAACGCCACCUGUGCACAUUUCUGGAGGGGGGGGGGGUUUCUCUAAGUUUGAUUGCCUUGUUGGUGAUUUUUCUUCGGGGUUUCCUUCCUAUCUCCCCUCAUACACACACACUGCCUUUAGAACAUUGAACGUGAUUGUGCCGCAAGGCCUUUGUUGCAAUA
rnacentral:misc_RNA from 1 species